UUAAACCGACACAGGUAGGUAGGUAGAGUAUACCAAGGGGCGCGAGAUAACUCUCUCUAAGGAACUCGGCAAAAUAACCUCGUAACUUCGGAAGAAGAGGUACCCUUGAAAAAGGGUUGCAAUAACCAGACCCUGGCGACUGUUUACCAAAAACACAGGUCUCCGCUAAUUCGUAAGAUCAAGUAUGGAGGCUGACGCCUGCCCAGUGCCGGAAGGUUAAAGAAGUUGGUCAAUCUUCGGAUGAAGCUGGCGACUGAAGCCCCGGUGAACGGCGGCCGUAACUAUAACGGUCCUAAGGUAGCGAAAUUCCUUGUCGGGUAAGUUCCGACCCGCACGAAAGGCGUAACGAUCAGGGUGCUGUCUCGGAGAGAGACUCGGCGAAAUAGACAUGUCUGUGAAGAUGCGGACUACCUGCACCUGGACAGAAAGACCCUAUGAAGCUUUACUGUAUCUUGGAAUUGGGUUUGGGCUUUGCUUGCGCAGGAUAGGUGGGAGGCUUUGAAGAUAUUCUCGCGGGAAUAUUGGAGCCAACGGUGAGAUACCACUCUAGUAAGGCUAAAAUUCUAACUUUGUACCGUUAUCCGGUCAGAGAACAGUUUCAGGUGGGCAGUUUGACUGGGGCGGUCGCCUCCUAAAAAGUAACGGAGGCGCGCAAAGGUUCCCUCAGGCUGGUUGGACAUCAGUCGUAGAGUGUAAAGGCAUAAGGGAGCUUGACUGCGAGACCCACAAGUCGAGCAGAGACGAAAGUCGGCCUUAGUGAUCCGACGGUUCCACGUGGAAGGGCCGUCGCUCAACGGAUAAAAGUUACUCUAGGGAUAACAGGCUGAUCUCCCCCAAGAGUUCACAUCGACGGGGAGGUUUGGCACCUCGAUGUCGGCUCAUCGCAUCCUGGGGCGGUAGUACGUCCCAAGGGUUGGGCUGUCGCCCAUGAAAGCGGUACGCGAGCUGGGUUCAGACGUCGUGA
rnacentral:rRNA from 1 species